GUGCCAGCAGCCGCGGUAAUACGUAGGCAGCAAGCGUUGUUCGGAAUUACUGGGCGUAAAGAGUGCGUAGGCGGUUAACUAAGUUUGGUGUGAAAUCUCCCGGCUUAACUGGGAGGGUGCGCCGAAAACUGGCUAGCUAGAGUGUGGGAGAGGAUAGUGGAAUUCCUGGUGUAGCGGUGAAAUGCGUAGAUAUCAGGAGGAACACCUGCGGUGUAGACGGCUAUCUGGACCAUGACUGACGCUGAGGCACGAAAGCGUGGGUAGCAAACAGGAUUAGAUACCCUGGUAGUCC
rnacentral:rRNA from 1 species